AACGAACGCUGGCGGCGUGGAUAAGACAUGCAAGUCGAACGCUGAUUAUAGGGUAGCAAUAUUCUGUAGUCGGAGUGGCGAAAGGGUGCGUAACACGUGGGUAAUUUGCCGUGAAGUUGGGGAUAACUCGCUGAAAGGCGAGCUAAUACCGAAUGUGGCCUAACAAGGCUAAAGUUGGGGACCGUAAGGCCUGACGCUUCACGAUAAGCCCGCGGCCUAUCAGCUAGUUGGUGAGGUAACGGCUCACCAAGGCUAAGACGGGUAGCUGGUCUGAGAGGACGACCAGCCUCACUGGAACUGAGACACGGUCCAGACACCUACGGGUGGCAGCAGUCGAGAAUUUUUCUCAAUGGGGGAAACCCUGAAGGAGCGACGCCGCGUGGGGGAUGAAUGGCUUCGGCCCGUAAACCCCUGUCAUUUGCGAACAAACCUUUCGGUUUAAUAGAUCGAAAGCUGAUAGUAGCGAAAGAGGAAGGGACGGCUAACUCUGUG
rnacentral:rRNA from 1 species